rnacentral:rRNA from 1 species
GGGCCCGCACAAGCGGUGGAGCAUGUGGUUUAAUUCGAUGAUACGCGAGGAACCUUACCAGGGCUUAAAUGUAGUGGGACAGGUCUAGAGAUAGACCCUUCUUCGGACUCAUUACAAGGUGCUGCAUGGUUGUCGUCAGCUCGUGCCGUGAGGUGUCAGGUUAAGUCCUAUAACGAGCGCAACCCCUAUCGUUAGUUGCCAGCGGGUAAUGCCGGGAACUCUAGCGAAACUGCCGGUGCAAACCGUGAGGAAGGUGGGGAUGACGUCAAAUCAUCACGGCCCUUACGUCCUGGCUACACACGUGCUACAUUGGGCGAGACAAUGAGAUGCAAAUCUGUGAAGACUAGCU